AGACGUAGGGGGCGAGCGUUGCUCGGAAUCACUGGGCGUAAAGCGGGUGUAUGCGGUCUAGCAAGUCAGAUGUGAAAGCCCACGGCUCAACCGUGGAAGUGCAUCUGAAACUGCUAGACUUGAGUGCCUGAGAGGGCAGUGGAAUUCCUGGUGUAGGGGUGAAAUCCGUAGAUAUCAGGAGGAACACCGGUGGCGAAGGCGACUUCCUGGACGGCCACUGACGCUGAGACCCGAAAGCGUGGGGAGCAAACAGAAUUAGAAACCCCAGUAGUCC
rnacentral:rRNA from 1 species